rnacentral:rRNA from 1 species
ACAUACGGCCAUAGGCAGUAGAAAAUACCGCGUCUCGUUUGCUCCGCUGAAGUCAAGCUACUGACUGGCAGAUUAGUAACUAGUUGAACACCGGCUGCUGUAUGUU